rnacentral:rRNA from 1 species
GUGCCAGCAGCCGCGGUAAGACGAACUGCCCAAACGUUGUUCGGAAUCACUGGGCUUAAAGGGCGCGUAGGCGGCAGAUCAAGUCAGGGGUGAAAUCCGGCAGCUCAACUGUCGAAGUGCCUUUGAUACUGAUUUGCUCGAGGGAGAUAGGGGUCUGCGGAACUUCUGGUGGAGCGGUGAAAUGCGUUGAUAUCAGAAGGAACGCCGGUGGCGAAAGCGGCGGACUGGAUCUCUUCUGACGCUGAGGCGCGAAAGCUAGGGGAGCAAACGGGAUUAGAUACCCCUGUAGUCC